rnacentral:rRNA from 1 species
UACGUAGGGUGCAAGCGUUGUCCGGAAUUAUUUGGGCGUAAAGAGCUCGUAGGCGGUCUGUCGCGCUGCCGUGAAAGUCCGGGGCUCAACUCCGGAUCUGCGGUGGGUACGGGCAGACUAGAGUGUGGUAGGGGAGACUGGAAUUCCUGGUGUAGCGGUGAAAUGCGCAGAUAUCAGGAGGAACACCGAUGCGAAGGCAGGUCUCUGGGCCACUACUGACGUGAGAAGCGAAAGCAUGGGGAGCGAACAGG